rnacentral:rRNA from 1 species
AACGAACGCUGGCGGCAUGCCUAACACAUGCAAGUCGAACGAGACCUUCGGGUCUAGUGGCGCACGGGUGCGUAACGCGUGGGAAUCUGCCCAAAGGUUCGGAAUAACUCAGGGAAACUUGAGCUAAUACCGGAUGAUGUCGCAAGACCAAAGAUUUAUCGCCUUUGGAUGAGCCCGCGUAGGAUUAGCUUGUUGGUGAGGUAAAGGCUCACCAAGGCGACGAUCCUUAGCUGGUCUGAGAGGAUGAUCAGCCACACUGGGACUGAGACACGGCCCAGACUCCUACGGGAGGCAGCAGUGGGGAAGUAUUGGACAAUGGGCGAAAGCCUGAUCCAGCAAUGCCGCGUGAGUGAUGAAGGCCUUAGGGUUGUAAAGCUCUUUUACCCGGGGAUGANAAUGACAGUACCGGGAGAAUAAGCUCCGGCUAACUCCGUGCCAGCCGCCGCGGU